GGUUAGUUGCCAGCAAGUAGCGUUGGGCACUCUAGCCAGACUGCCGGUGAUAAAUCGGAGGAAGGUGGGACGACGUCAAAUCAUCAUGCCCUUUAUGUCCUGGGCUACACACGUACUACAAUGGCCGUUACAACGGGAAGCGAAGGAGCAAUCCGGAGCAAAUCCCUUAAAGGCGGUCCCAGUUCAGAUUGUGGGCUGAAACUCGCCCACAUGAAGGCGGAAUUGCUAGUAAUUGCAGAUCAGCAUGCUGCAGUGAAUACGUUCCCGGGCCUU
rnacentral:rRNA from 1 species